rnacentral:lncRNA from 1 species
UCAAAAUUAGGUGUCAGUCCCUAAGAACCUAUUCCCUAAGCAUUAAACUUCUUUGGAUUUCAAGUUUCAGAUGUAUUUAAUCAAAAAGAAUACAAAAGAUUUUGUAAGGUGCCUUCCCCUUGGAGCAUACUACAUUUGCUCCUCCACCACGUGCUGCUGGAUGAAUUCCAGCUUAUCAAGAGAAUCUUGACAUCAAAACAGGAACCUCCACUUCAUUGAUCACAAGCCUUUCUGUGUAUUUGGGCAGGUUUUCAGUUUACCUCAAGACACAAACAAACCUACAGCAAAUCUGGUAAUGAGGGUUUGAGGUUCUGCACUUGACUCAGUUAGUGACUCACGGAGCAUCCCUGUGCCUCGGCUUAUGCCUCUCUAAAACCAUAUUAAAGUGGACAUGGGCAUUUUGAGGGAUGUUUUGAAAGUAAUAUUACUUAUAUUUCUAUUGUUAAAACAAAUAUUUGUGUGAUUUUGUUGGUUUCACUGAUGUAUCAUACGGCUUGGGUAAAAAAGGUUAUUACUAAAAAUGGUUUUGUUUUCUCACAAGUGCUUACAAACUCAAGCAACUUUACUGCUUCACGAUUAAAAAAGAGAAAUCAAUUAAUUUUUCUUCCUCUCUUUUAGAAAUAGGAGCCUGGUUAUGCCCCAACUGAAACAGUCCUCCAGCAAUCCCCUCUGAAGCUUGGUUCUGUGCCAUCGGAGCAAACAGGAGCACUGCCAUCUGCCUCCGUGCAAACAAGAGAUCACCUUGUAUUUCCGCAGCAAGGCUGAAGGAGUAUCAGACCCUGCAAGCCGUAACUAAAAGGUGUUUAUUGCCGUGAUUUCCGUGACAAGGGCCGGAGCUGUUUGGUCCUGGGAUUACAGUGGGAGACAGUGGAGGUACCCGAACAUAGGAAAGGUGCAGGGGAAAUAAAAUUACUGGAGGAAGUGGAAAAUGAGAAGCUUGUACACUACCACAACUCUGAUCCAUCUGCUCAGGUUUGGUUUAUUUGCAAUCCUGAGCCACAAGAGACAACCAAAGUCACCAAGUUGGCAUUCCCAGGUAAAUUAGUAGCAAAACAAGUAAUACAGGAUGAUGAGAGCCAGAAGUUGGAGCAGAAAAAGAGCAUAUAAGUACCUGGAUUAAAAUAUACGUAUAUAUACAGAGUCCAGAAUGACCAUAUCUUAUAAAAGGAGAUAAGGCAUCUACACACCAAGUUUGGGAUUAUUGGCUUCAUUCCUGCAGCAGACACCGAGGGUCAGCAGCAAGGCAGGGCAGCAGCCAGGCUACAAAGCACUGCUCAGCCCGGUGUUAUAAAAAGAAACUGCAGGCCAGUGCUAAAGCCAAUUGAUACCAAUGGGUGUCAGCUACCUGGAGAGCAGGACUGCUUUCAGAUAACCUCCCUAAAUAUUGCACAGAAACUCAGUGGCAUGAGUAAUGGAGAGAAAGAGUUUGUAUAACACAACUGGUGUAAGGAUGGGGACAAGAGGGAAUCA